rnacentral:lncRNA from 1 species
GUUUACAAUUCCCUGCUAAUUAGGCUGUGACUGCUUUAUUUCUAGACUCUUGCUUUAUCCCUCUGUUCAGUGGACUUUGUUCACAGGGCAAAAAAACAACGCCUGAGUCUCUUCUCUGUUCAUACCAACUCCCUCUUCCCAGCAUAUUUAUUUCCCACCUUCCACCUGAGCCCAGGGUGGCAGAAAGAGGCCAGUCUUUGGAGCCAAACGAUGUCUUCAAAAUCUGGCUUUACCAGUUCUCAGCUGAGAACUGCUAUAAGCACUUAUUCAUGGAGGUGUUAACAUGCUAAUCAUGGCCUCCUCUGCAUAUUAUAUGAUUAAAUGAGACAAUGUACACAAAGCACUUCUCUUGUGGCAGAUAUUGGUAGUUUAACUACCCCCAUUGCAAACCUUAAGUACACUUUUUCUUCCAGCCAUCCUGCUCAGGAAGGAAGGUCUAGAAUAGAUGGAGUGACUGACAGUAGAGUCAAAGUUCAGAAAGGAAGAAUGUCCCCGUCACAACCUUUGUUUUGGAGAUUGUGGUUAUCUCGACAACUUUUUUUUUCUUUUUUUGACAACUUUUUGAUUUAAGCCUUUUCACCUUUCGUUGCUAGGUAUUUAGAACACAGGACAAGAUACCAGAGUAAAAUAAUGAGCAAUUGUCAACUUCCAAAUGCUUUACAAACACUCGAUAACUAACCUCUGCCCCACCUUUCAGAGAGGCAAAUAAGACCAUCUCCACUUCAUCAAGAGAAGAGGAAGAUGUUUAAAUGCGACCACGGGGAGGACAGGGAACCCCUAGGCAAGUCCCACUCAGCCUGCUCCAGAGCCACCUCAAGACCUAGCAGCCGGAAGCCAGCAGGGGCAUCCACACCACAAGGCAGAGGAGCACGGAAAGAAAGAGAAGGGAGAGCAGAAAGGGAAGGAAGGCUAGAAACAGGAGGUUCAGGACAGGGCUCUGUGGGAACCCGGCUUCCCAGGACUCAUUCCUCUCCUCUCACACAAUUCCCAAAUUGUCUGGCACCUGGACCACACGUUGAAUUCAAGGGUGGCUUACUGCGGGGAGGCAGCUGAGUGAUCCGUUCCGUUUGAUGGAUGUCAAGACAAUGAUGAAAAAUGUCAGAGAAGGCUGAGUGAAAACAUGGAGUGAAGAGUAGGGGCCGAUGGUGGGACACUUAAGGAGAGCAUCACUUUUAUAUGUCAACCCUCACAACAACCAACAGCAAUGGUCCCCGAUUUCAAGCUUGCUCCCUCCUGCCAAAUUCUAAACCCGGCUCUGGACUUCUAUAAGCCACAUGUACUAAAGCCCCAGAUUCCAAGUUCACAGUUGGGAUGCUCGCUGGAGUCCACAGGCAAGUUAGUGAGGUAAGACCUUGGUGUUUAGAGCUCUUAGAUGUUGGCAGGACCAUGGUUCCUCUAGAGGCUCCAGAGAAGAAUCCUUCCUUGCCUCCUACUAGCUUCUGGUAAAACGACUGACCAGUAUUCCCUGGCGUUCUGUGGCUUCAUGCUGCACAAUCCUAAUCUCUGCUACCGCUGUCACAUGGAUUUAUUUGUGUCUUAGGCCCUUCUUACAAGGACAUCUGCCAUUGGAUCUAGAUCUAACCCUCUUCUUUUUUUUUUCUUUUUACAGCUGUACCCAAGGCAUAUGGAAGUUCCUGGGCCAGGGGUCGAUUUGGAGCUGCAGCUGAGGCCUAUGCCACAGCCACAGUACCAUCGAAUCUGAGAUCCAUCUUCAACCUACGCAAUAACUUGUGGCCAUGCUGGAUCCUUAACUGACUGAGUGAGGCUAGGGAUUGAACCUGCAUCCUUAGAGAUAAGGUCAGGUUCUUAACCCGCUGAGCCACAGUUGGAACUCCAAGCUCACCCUAUUCUAAUAUGACCUCAACUAAUUACAUCUGCAAAGACUCUGUUUCCAAAUCAGGUCACACUCUGAAGUCCCGAGUGAACAUGAACUUGGGGAGACAGGGCUGAGAUAAGAAAUUAAUCAUAAGAAAAUGGUCUGAACCCAUCACACUUUCAGUCAGUUUCCAGUUUUCUUUUUUUCCCUUUGAAUACUUACAAACCUGGAGAAGAUUUCUUAAAAGUUCUUUUACUGAAUAUGCAGAAGGUCAGAUGCUAAUGUACUCUGACGGAGGCCUUUGAUGGAGCUAUUAAAAGGAAUGACUUGGUUCCCAGGAUUUCAUAAUGAGGCCAACCUUAGGGCAGAUUACAUAUAUCCUGGGAGGUAAGUGCACAGCCAGGGUUUUAAACCUCCUCUCAUCAUACAGCAUCACGUAACGAGGAGGUGGAAGCCAGGUGAAGGUCUAGUCCUCAUCACAUGGCUGCGAUGAGAGCAGAGCAUUUCAACCACGUGACUGUGGCCCUUCCAUUAUCUUGCCUCAUGUGCUUAUUCCUCAUGAGACAGCUCUGCAAAAUGACAUCAUUCUAAACUACCUUCCAGGAAGUGAUCCCACAGUCUCUUCAUGCUUAAAUAAGAUUGUUGCAGAGUUCCCUGGUUAAGGACCCAACAUUGUCACUACUGUGGUGCAGGUUUGGUCCCUGGCCUGGGAACUUCCGCAUGCCACAGGUGCAGCCAAAAAAAUAAAAUAAAAAAUAAAAAGAUGGUUGGAUUCUACUUGGAUUACUGUGUAUUUCUGUUUUACUGUUGAGUUCAGGCUAAACAUAAUCAACCUUAGCCUAACGACUUGAAAGAAUGAGAUCUCUCCACCCGAGCCUGUGCCUUGUGAACUUUGGGAUGACUUUUCACCCUACACCUGCCUCCACCUUUUGAAAAGCAGAAUAACAGCCACUGGAACACCUACUAUGAGAGAUGAAGAGCUCCACUCCUCUCCUUCUGCCCUUUUCUCCACCUCAAUCUAAUUAACUCCCCCCUCUAAAGAAAGAAGUGCCAUGACUCUAAUUGUCCAGAUCUAGCAACUGUCAUUAGGACUCUAAAUAGCAGUCAUUGUCAUGUUUGUCAGAAGUGGGUGUCUGUGGUCACUACCCAAUCACUCCCAACCCCUGGGUCUGCCUGGUGAGAAAAUAUAUGCUGGGCUGAUCCUACAGGUAGACUGGCCGUUUUGGUCCACAUCAUGGACUUGUUUCCAUAUCCAAGCAUCCCUGCUUCAAGAGGGGCCACAGGAAGCAGGCAAGGUGCAGCACUUCAGCCUUGUUCCAUAUAAUCCAACAUUCAUCAGAGCUUGGCAUUAGGGUCUACUGGGCACUUGCUUAGCUAUUCAUAAAUAGGUUUCCUCUUGUUUCCUAUUAGCACAUCAUCCUCUGCUGCUUUCUGUUGGGGACCCCAGAAAGGACAAGAGGUGAGUAGCAGUAUCAUCCAAAUCCUACCAUGAAACCCCCACCACUCAGCACUCUGGGAGAAAUCCUGGCCAUAAACUUGAGCUCCAAACUGGAUUCUGCUAUAUGUCUCCUUUGCCAUGCCCACUUUGAGAAACUGCCUGCUUAUUUCCCUGCCCACGUUAGGUUUAACUACUAGACAGCUUCUUCUCUCCUUUCCUCCAGCAAAACCCUGGUUCCAUGCCCAUUAGCCUGCUUCACCUCCUUCAUUCACACUGCUUGAUCUAGACCUGCCCACUCUGUCAGCCCCAUCUCUCAUUAAUGAGCCUCAACUCCUAGAAGACUAUUCACUAACCAUUCCAUUUAGAGUCAGAAGAUUUAUUUGUAGCCCCCUCGGUGCCUUGGCUCAACUGGGAAGAUCCUGGGUUUUCCCCCACGACAUGGCCAUUUCCUUUGGACCCUUCCAAACACCAGCUGUUGGGAAGGAAGCCCUGCUGUUUGUCUGAAAGUGAAUUCCUGAGAGGGCUUCAGAGUCAUUCAUUCUUUUAAACCUGUAAACAUCCCAUUUUCAUCUUGUUUACUUGUUUGCUCAGCUCAACCUUUUCUAAGAAAAGUCCGAAAGUAAAUUUCAACUCUGUGCCCUGCCUGAAUGAUACAAUAUUAUAACUGAAUAAGGUCAGAAUUAUUUGGGGUUUGCUAUAUCUUUGAGUCUCUUAUAAAUAAUGGUAAGUUAGAAGCAGUAGUUAGGAGAGAAAGGUUUAAAGAGAACAUGACAUAUUAAAUUUGGUUUUUCCUGAAGCGUGGUUGAUGUACAAUAUUAUGUGAGUUUCAGGUGUACCAAAGAGUGAUUUAACAUUUAAAUGUAUUACAAAAUGGUCACCAUGGUAAGUCUAGUCACCCUCUGUCACCAUAUAAAAUUAUUACAGUAUUAUUGACUAUAUUCCUUAUGCUGUAUAUUAUAUUCCUGUGACUUAUUUAUUUUAUAACUCUUAAUCCCCUUUACCUAGUUUGCCCAGUUCUUCAUCUUCCCCUGCCCCUCUUUUGGCAACCACCUGUUUGUUCUUUGUAUCUAUGCAUCUAUUUUUCUUUCUUUCUUUUUUAAGAUUCCACAUGUAAAUCAUAUAAUUUUUGUCCUCUUAUUUCACUUAGCAUAAUAUCCUCUAGUUCCUGCCAUAUUGUUGCAAAUGGCAAGAUUUCAUUCCUUUUUAUGGCUAAUAUGCCAUUGUAUAUACACACCACAUCUUCUUUAUCCAUUCAUCCACUGAUGGACGCUUAUGUUGUUUCCAUAUCUUGGCUAUUGACAGCAAUGUUGCUAUGAACAUUGGGAUGAUGUAUCUUUUUGAAUUAGUAUUUUUGUUUUCUUCGGGUAAAGACCCAGAAGUGGAAUCUGAGAUCAUAUGGUAGUUCUAUUUUUAGUUUCUGAGGAGUCUCCAUCUUGUUUUCCAUAGAAGUUGCACCAAUUUACAUUCCCACAAACAGUGCACAAGAGUUCGCUUUUCUCCACAUCCUCGACAACACUUUUUAUUUGUUGUAUUUUUUUGGUGUGAAGUGAUAUUAGAUUUGGAGUCAUUUACAUCUGAUGGUUUAAAAUCCACAUGACAGGAAAAAAAUUCUCUGUAUCAAGGAAGGACAUGGCUGAGAGAGUAGACACAUCUUAAGAGCCUACGCUAUGAUGAGCAUGUUAGGGGUUACAGUG